UUCUUAAAUAAUUGGUAUUUGAUUAGUUUGAGUACUUUGUUUUAUGGUAAUUAAGAAUUCACAUUCUUGUUCUAAUUCUUGUUGGAAGUUUCCAAGGGCCAAAUUUAAAUGAUUUUAUUGUAUGUUACUUAUUGCUAAUAUAGUUGAAUUUAUUCCAGUUGGAAUUUUGUAGUGAGGACAUCAAUUCCAAAUUGUCUUGAGAUACCGAAUACUCUUCAUGUUCGACAUGUUUCCGAAGACAACUUAUUGCACAUGGGAGGUGACAAAGAUCUUUGUGGAAGAUUUUGGAACUAUCUUAUAAUAGGGUUGGAUGCUCAAGAAUUGUUUGAUGCUUCUCACUUUAAAUCUUGGCCAAGGUAACUUUUUUAGGCAUAAUUUCUAUCAUUGUGAUAUUAUUAUAUUACUAUUUUUAAUUAAUUCUCUAUGCUUUGUAAUAAUUUUCCGAUUUAGUGUAAUAAUCAAGGGGUAGAUGUUUACUAUUUGGAAUGCUUUGUGAUACAUUAUUAACUUGCUAAUUAAUUUGGAUGGAAUGAUAGUAAAAGGUAAGAACGCUUUUAUUUUCUAUAAAGACUAUACCACAACUUGAACUUCUAAAGUUAGUGGAAAAUGAACUAAAAACAUGUGAAUCAAUGAUCGUAUGUGUUGCCAACAAUUAUUUUAUCAUUAAUAUAGACUAACACUAUGAAAUAUUAGUAAGAUAUAAAUAUAUAAUACAAUACCCUUGAAUUUUGUGAGUUCAACUAAAACUUGAGA